rnacentral:rRNA from 1 species
AGGUGUGAUCGUAGUAACAUUAAUGCACCAGAGCACAUCAAAGAUUGGUAGUUAAGCAUGCUUAUGCUAUAGUAGCAUUGGGAUGGGUUACCUCUUGGGAUGUCUUAAUGUUGCACCCU